ensembl:lncRNA
GUACCUCCAGUGCACUCCUGGACAGGUACGCGCUGUGCAGCACGCGAAACACUGUGUUUGGGUGCUGGAUUUUUUCCUGAUGAAGGUUUAAUACCUAAACAUUCCAUCCUGCUGCCAUCUGGUAAACAACACACCUGGUCGUCCAUGCGAUGUAAAAGAAAACGUGAUCUUCAGAGUGAAAGUAGCAGUUCCUCCUGAAGGUCAGAGAUUGCAGCAUCUGAGGGCCUCUUCAAAAGAAGACGUAGUUGAUGAAGGCGUUCUGGAGCAGGACCAGAAAGACCACGACCAAGCAGCCUUGAGAUCUUAGGCAGCGUCUCCCUCAGACCAAAGAACUACAGACUCUUCACAACCUGCUCAAACUCUUGGUACAGGACCUCACCACACGGGUCAAGAAGGUUUCUCUCUCAUUUCUACUCUGAAGCUCACCUUCUCCUGCUCAAACUGCUGACAAAUGUUUCUGC